rnacentral:rRNA from 1 species
GACGAACGCUGGCGGCGUGCUUAACACAUGCAAGUCGAACGGAAAGGCCCUGCUUUUGUGGCGUUCUCGAGUGGCGAACGGGUGAGUAACACGUGAGUAACCUGCCCUUGACUUUGUGAUAACUUCAGGAAACUGGGGCUAAUACCGGAUAGGAGCUCCUGCUGCAUGGUGGGGGUUGGAAAGUUUCGGCGGUUGGGGAUGGACUCGCGGCUUAUCAGCUUGUUGGUGGGGUAGUGGCUUACCAAGGCUUUGACGGGUAGCCGGCCUGAGAGGGUGACCGGCAACAUUGGGACUGAGAUAGGGCCCAGAAUCCUACGGGAGGCAGCAGUGGGGAAUAUUGCACAAUGGGCGGAAGCCUGAUGCAGAAACGCCGCGUGCGGGAUGACGGCCUUCGGGUUGUAAACCGCUUUCGCCUGUGCCGAAGCGUGAGUGACGGUAAUGGGUAAAGAAGCACCGGCUAACUACGUG